rnacentral:rRNA from 1 species
CAGCAGCCGCGGGAAUACGGAGGGUGCAAGCGUUAAUCGGAAUUACUGGGCGUAAAGCGCACGCAGGCGGUCUGUCAAGUCAGAUGUGAAAUCCCCGGGCUUAACCUGGGAACUGCAUUUGAAACUGGCAGGCUAGAGUCUUGUAGAGGGGGGUAGAAUUCCAGGUGUAGCGGUGAAAUGCGUAGAGAUCUGGAGGAAUACCGGUGGCGAAGGCGGCCCCCUGGACAAAGACUGACGCUCAGGUGCGAAAGCGUGGGGAGCAAACAGGAUUAGAUACCCUUGUAGUCCCUGUCUCUUAUAC